GAUGAACGCUAGCGGCAGGCCUAAUACAUGCAAGCCAAGGGCUGUUUGGUGUAGCAAUACAUCAGACAACCGGCGGACGGGUGCGUAACGCGUAUGCAACCUUCCCUAUACAGGAGGGUAGCCUUCGGGAAAGUGGAGUAAUACCCCAUAAGAAUGCUCUGAUGCAUGGUUAAGCAAUGAAAGCUGCAGGGGGGUAUAGGAGGGGCGUGGGUCCGAUUAGCUAGUUGGUGAGGUAACGGCUCACCAGGGCGAGGAUCUGUAGGGGUUCUGAGAGGAAGAGCCCCCACACGGGGACUGGGACACGGGCCCGACACCUACGGGACGCAGCAGUAAGGAAUAUUGGACAAUGGGUGAAAGCCUGAUCCAGCCAUGCCGCGUGCAGGAAGAAGGCCCUAUGGGUGGUAAACUGCUUUUGGGAGGGAGAAAUAAGGGCGAUGCGUCGCUCGAUGAUAGUACUUCUCGAAGAAGCAUCGGCUAACUUCGUG
rnacentral:rRNA from 1 species